GACGAACGCUGGCGCCGUGCCUAAUACAUGCAAGUCGAGCGGACUGAAUGGGAGCUUGCUCUUGUUCGGUCAGCGGCGGACGGGUGAGUAACACGUGGGCAACCUGCCCGCAAGACCGGGAUAACUCCGGGAAACCGGAGCUAAUACCGGAUAACACCGAAGACCGCAUGGUCUUUGGUUGAAAGGCGGCGCAAGCUGCCACUUGCGGAUGGGCCCGCGGCGCAUUAGCUAGUUGGUGAGGUAACGGCUCACCAAGGCGACGAUGCGUAGCCGGCCUGAGAGGGUGACCGGCCACAUUGGGACUGAGACACGGCCCAGACUCCUACGGGAGGCAGCAGUAGGGAAUCUUCCGCAAUGGGCGAAAGCCUGACGGAGCGACGCCGCGUGAGCGAAGAAGGCCUUCGGGUCGUAAAGCUCUGUUGUGAGGGACGAAGGAGCGCCGUUUGAAGAAGGCGGCGCGGUGACGGUACCUCACGAGGAAGCCCCGGCUAACUACGUG
rnacentral:rRNA from 1 species